GUUCACGACAUUUGAUUUAAAAAAAAAAAAAAAAAUUAGAGAACUGUAUAUUAAGGGGAGUUGAUUGGCAGUCUGGGGGAGCUUCUUGGUGUGUUGUCGGUUCUCUUCGAUCGGUGGUCGGAAAGUAAGUAGGUGCUCCCUAAUCCUAACAGCAAUUCUUAUUCCCCAAUUUCCACAUACCUAAAUCAGCAACACAACCCCGUAUCCGCGUCUUCUCGUUUUCUUUUUCAUCUAUUGGUACAUCUCAUCCUGUUCCCGUCGGUAAUAUUUAGAUCAAUUAUUGAUUAUCUUCCUGAUAACCUAUCAAUUUGCGUGGCGCAUAAUCCAAUUUGAGGGAUACUUCGUAAAUUUGUAGGUAUGCGAUCCAAUUGGAAUCUUCUUUUUUGAUAAUUUUCUCAGUUUUUUUUUUUUAAGUGGAAAUCGCAAAUGCUCUGUGAAGCCCACGCCACAUGCAGAUUGCAUUAGGCUUCUAAUGUGAACUCUAAUCUGUUUCUUGGUUUGAUAUAACAUAAUUUCAUGGGAUCCAAACUUUGCAUGAGCGAGUAAUUGUAUAGUUUCGUAGGCUCAUGUUAUGGAAGAGGGGACAGGGUUCAACCCUUUUAAUAUAAAUCACUAUGGCAUUAGCAUAUGAUGGCAUUUGGAAAGAAGCAAGAGAACAGGACCUUGAAACUGAUAUGGGGGGAGCUGAUAUACACGGAACUAAUGAAGGGAGUAAAGAUAGGAUGUGAACAUUGCGUUGCAGACUAAGCAAUACCAAAGAACCCGAUUGAUGAGGGUCUGGAGCUCACUAUAGCUGUUUCAACAAACAAAUUAAGCAUACAAAGGGACUGGUACCGCAACAAGGACUGAAAAAAAGCGUGCACCUUGAUGACUGUCCCUUCAUCUCACAUGAGUUCAAUAGUUUCAACAUCUCGAGGAAUACAUCCAUCAACAGGUAUCAGCACCUAUGACAACCCAAGAGCUGGGCCUUCUGGCUCUUUCAGCCAGCCUGAACCAGAGUCCAAUGACUGUGAUGAGACUGAGUUAUUCUCUGUAUCUUGGAAUCAGGACUAUGGUUGUUUUGCUGCUGGCACAAACCAUGGUUUUCGUAUCUAUAAUUGUGACCCAUUUAAAGAAACUUUUAGACGUGAUUUGAAAAGUGGGGGUUUCAAAAUCGUUGAGAUGCUCUUCCGGUCCAACAUUCUGGCACUUGUUGGUGGUGGAGCUAAUUCUCAAUACCCACCUAAUAAAGUUAUGAUUUGGGAUGAUCAUCAGAGCCGUUGCAUUGGUGAAUUUGCUUUUAGAUCUGAAGUUCGUGCAGUGAAAUUAAGACGGGAUCGAAUUAUUGUUGUUCUUGAGCACAAGAUAUAUGUUUACAACUUUAUGGAUCUGAAGCUUCUUCAUCAGAUUGAAACUUUAGCAAAUCCUAGGGGCUUGUGCUGCCUUUCACACCAUUCAAAUACAUUUGUGUUAGCUUGCCCAGGUCUUCAACGAGGACAGGUUCGAAUUGAACAUUUUGGGCUGAAUAUGACAAAACUAAUUCAUGCUCAUGAUUCUCAUAUUGCAUGCUUCACCUUAACAAUGGAUGGGCUGCUUCUUGCAUCUGCUAGUACAAAGGGCACCUUGAUAAGAAUAUUCAACACAAUGGAUGGGACUCGCUUACAAGAGGUACGUAGAGGUGGGAACAGAGCAGAGAUUUAUAGUAUUGCUCUCUCUCCAAAUGUCCAGUGGCUGGCAGCUUCAAGUGACAAAGGUACUGUUCAUAUAUUCAGCCUAAGAGUCAGAGUAGGGGAGGACUCAGCUGCUCAAGGACUGGCACUGUUUCAGCAGAAUUCUUCAACAUCCCUGGAUGCCCUUAUUUCUCCAAAUGCUGGUUCCAAUCCCAGUUCAUCAUUAUCUUUUAUGAGAGGAGUUUUACCAAAAUAUUUCAGCUCGGAAUGGUCAUUUGCUCAGUUCCACUUGCCAGAAGAUAUACAAUUCAUUGCAGCGUUUGGAUCUCAAAAUGCUGUCAUUAUUGUUGGCAUGGAUGGGAGACCAAUUAUAUUGUGCAGAUUCUAAAGGAAAUGUAUCAAACAAUUCGUCAUGUCUUCUCUUUGGAAAUUACAAAAUCUUCCUUCCUACCAUUUUCUACAGAUGCAGAUUUGAUCCAGUGCAUGGAGGGGAGAUGUUACAGCAGGAAUAUGUACGCUUUCUAAAAACUGAAAGUAGGCUCAGAUAGGGAUCCAUUAUAACUGCGCCUGAAUGUAUGUGUGAAUAUUUUAAAGGCUACAAUUCUGUUUCUUACUGUCUAUUACGUAUGGGAAAAUGGAGAUGGUAAUGAUUGUUCUAA